GAAAGCCGUGUGCGGGAGAACCGCAUGCACGGAUUGAUGAGGGAGGGCGCGAGAGCCUGUCCUCUACUCUAC
rnacentral:ncRNA from 1 species